CUGCACUAAUGCUGGAUGCGAAGAAGUAUUCUCUUAAUGACAUCAAAGUGCAAGAAAUUCAAGGACACAAUGUUGAAAGGUUUUGAAGCAAGUGAUCACGGCACAACAGAUAAUAUGGAGCUUCAAAAGCGCAUAUUAGAAUUCGGAUUCUAUUGAAUCAAAUAAAUCUUUAGUCUGCUAGUCGGGUGAUUUAUAGAGCCUGAAACAUUAGAUUAAGCAUCAACUUUGUACAAAAAAAAUUGCUUAAUUUUAAAAAUGAUCUGCACAGUGAAUUGAAAGAAAUGUUUACAAUCCCUGCAUAUUCCAGGAAAGUGGCUUCUAAGUGACGAGUCUGAAUUACGUUGAUUUCUCAUAGUCUAAGGUAGUUGGAAAACCAUGACCAUUACUUCUUGCUGUUUUCAAGAGAUGAACAGAAAAAACCAAUGAGAACUUCAAUUUUUAGAGUAAUAAUAGCAAGAACUUUGGAGAUAUAAAUUUAAAUUCUUUACUUAUACCUGAAAGUAUUCUGAUGGAAUUCUUCGUGUUUACUCAUGUUGGGACGUCUUAUGAAUCGAAAGAGGCAGAAUUUCCUGCAAUUGAUAUUGGAGCAGCGCAUUCUUCAAAGAAUGCAUUAGACGCCAUUUAAUUGAACAACGGCUUAAUACCACUCGUCUGUGCAGUGAAUAUCAUUUAGUCUCCAGCCGCAAAUUCUAAAUACGAGAGAUGUUUGGAUUGGAGGAAAGUGAUACCGGUAUACACAAGUUAAAUUAAGACCAUUAUGGAUGCAUUUUUUCCUGCAAGUGUGAAGUCGCCAUCAAUAAUACGGCUUUCUCGGUUCCAUAUACAAGACAUCAAUAUUCACCAAUUUCCUUAAGAUAAUUUGAAGAAUCAAUUUUCAUGUUUGACUUGAAUCUCUUCAGAUGUCUACAUGUCUUAACCCAAGUGAUCACGGCACAAGAUACCAUUUGGAGCCUUCAAACGUGCAAUUCGGAGCCUUUUCAAUGAAACUAGGGAGAUCCAACUGAUGCAGCUGAGUUUGUAAAAUUCAUUUUUGCUUCGUUUAAAUUUAUAUUAGUGCCAAAAAAAUGAAUGCAUAAAUGGUCUGCACAGUGGAAAUGUGAUUAUGAAUGUAGUCAACAUUACUUGAGGAUAUCAAUACAUCUUUGAAAUGUUUUAUUCUAAUCUAAGAGCAAGAUACUGAAUAUUCAUUUUUUUCGAACUUUGUAAAGCUUGAAGUGUGCAA